CUGCCCCAGGUCAGCAGCGGAGGGAUGUAUAUGAAAAGACAACCGCCGAACUUUAAUAUCAGUUGGAGACGAAACGCGGCUCGAAGAGGUCAUGGCUUCGGUAGAAGUCAGAUCAAACCGCCGUGGUCUCCAGGGCUCCAUCGACUGCCUUGCUGAUGGGAGGACUUAACCGGUCAGUGUGAUACUGACCAUACAUACUGGACACGAGUGACAACGUCAAGGUGUUCCUGACACCCGUACCUGUGUCCACCAGGACGACGCAGUUCCGCCACAACGUGCACAGGGACUCCUACCACGACAGGGAAAGUCAGUGGAGUCCGUGCAAGUCAGUGAGACGAGCUGCAUCACUGAAGGAGCUAGAAUAGACGUCCGUGUGCCUUAUAAAGUCGGGAAGGAGCUACAAAUCACCCAGAACAGCACCAUCGACAGGAGGAAGAUAACGAGAGGGGAGUGCCAGACCAGUAGCAGACCUAGAAUAGCCAAUCGAUUGCGCUGCUACAACCAUAGUGAACCUAAAACUAGUUAGAGAAUUCACGGACUAGUUUUGAGGUGAUUUAUACCAUUACUGUGCAUUUUAGUGUACUGGGUAUACAUUGCAGUAGUAGUUGAUUGUGCAUGUGUAUCAAAGAACCGUACAUAAGGUUAACCUCAGCGACGACGGACCGAAUCAAACCGGAGAUGGAUGUAGUAAAGGAGAGAACCGCCAGAGGAAUGUUCAGUACAAUUAUUCUGUAUCCAACCUGUGACCGAAGUUAGCGGGUCAGCAUUAUGUAGUAACGUCAAAACACUUCAACAGUCUCCCGUGCCAAGUGUACGGAAAACCUUGUCUCUGCGUCCUUCCUUUAUUCUAGCUGUGCUAGUCAUAGUCUUCAAAGCAGAAUCUAAACAACGUGAAAUCCAUUGGUUUCAUGACUUGUUUGAAAUAUGUGACUUAUUAACAUUUCACAACCAGGCUUUACUUAAUAUGUAUCUAUAUAGCCGGUAUAACCGCCCUUCGGCGUAACACACCAGCUUCAAUUCCAAACGACAAUUACCUGAAAUCACUUCACUUUAUAUUUUAUAGAUAUCGACAUAAAACUGACAUAUUCGUCUUCAUUAUUUGUUUUGACCCCGUGAAAGCAUAUCAUCCCAAAGCUCAAAAGACAAAGGCGAAAGCUAUUUUUCUACCCUCAAAAUCAUCCUUUCUAUAGCUCCAAACGACAACCACUUGAAGCAUUCCAUUCCAAAUUGCAAAAAGCACAAGCUUAUAUAA